rnacentral:rRNA from 1 species
GACGAACGCUGGCGGCGUGCUUAACACAUGCAAGUCGAACGAAGAGCGAUGGAAGCUUGCUUCUAUCAAUCUUAGUGGCGAACGGGUGAGUAACGCGUAAUCAACCUGCCCUUCAGAGGGGGACAACAGUUGGAAACGACUGCUAAUACCGCAUACGAUCUAAUCUCGGCAUCGAGGAUAGAUGAAAGGUGGCCUCUACAUGUAAGCUAUCAGGGAAGGAGGGGAUUGCGGCUGAUUAGCUAGUUGGAGGGGUAACGGCCCACAAAGGCGAGGAUGGGUAGACGGUCUGAGAGGGUGACAGGCCAAAUUGGGACGGAGAUACGGCCCAGAGUCCUACGGGAGGCAGCAGUGGGGAAUAUUGCACAAUGGGCGGAAGCAUGAUGCAGCAACGUCGCGUGGGGGAUGACGGCCUUAGGGUUGUAAACCGCGUUCGCAGGUGACGAAGCGUGAGUGACGGUAAUGGGUAAAGAAGCACCGGCUAACUACGUG